CUUAUCCUGCCCAGUGCGCGGACUGCGCUUAUAUAACCCUACAACUUUAUUAUUGGGAGUUUAGCUCCGGCAGAGGGAUUGCAGACCUCCCGGCACAGUCUUGAGCUGUGUUGGACGAAGGGAGCGCGAGAAUGUUGGGCGGACACCCACCUGCUUUUCAGUAGGCAGGUUAUCUCAAGUGUAUUACGGCUGGGCGGGGGAUGC
rnacentral:other from 1 species